CUCAAAGCUGGAACUGAACAUCACAGGCUUCUGCAAAGAUAAAAAACCACAAGAUGUGUAGAAUCCACAUUGCUGCCUGUGUCAGCGACAGAUUGCCCUCAUAAAAGGUCUUGUCUGUUCCAGGGUACACAAUGGUGUUUGAAUGGUGGAGAACAGAGAGCUGUGUACUGAACCUGAUUCUUAAAUUUUGUGGUCGUAAAAGGUCUGAGUCAUUGACGUAGACGCUUUCAAGAGCAUCCGCGGGAGGCAAUUUCAAGGAGGAGAUCGCAUCAAUUCUACCUCAGAAGUUCCAGAUCGUUUCUCUGAGGACAGACUUUGAAAGAAGGAGAGACGGGAUCCCUGAGGAGGGAAAUUGGCACGAAGAGAAAAACCCUGCACACAGGGAGAAGACGAUUCACGCGCCUGCAGUCAGUCCCAUGGCCAGCAUGAUCCCAUGACACUGCUCUGCUCCCCGAAAUUUCUUUUCAAUAAAAUCAUUCAUCAGGAUGUGAAUA